rnacentral:lncRNA from 1 species
UGGGAUUACAGGCAUGAGCCACCGCGCCCGUCCAGAAGUCAUUUUUUAAAAUCACAUAAAGGAUGAGCGGAUACACAAAAUAUGGUCUAUCUGCACAAUAGAAUAUUAUUCAUCCUGAAAAGGGAAGGAGAUUCAGUCACAGACUACAACACAGAUGAACCGUGAGGACGUGAGGCUCAGAGAAAUAAGCCAGGCACAGGAAGGACAUAGGUUGUAUGAGCCCCCUUAUAUGGGGUCCCGAAAGUCAUCAGAUUCCUAGAGACAGAACGGGGAAGGGUGGCUGCCAGGGGCUACGGAGGGGGCCAGGAAGCUGCUGUUUAACGGGGGACACAGUUUCAGUUUGGGAAGAGCUGGAUGGUGGUGAUGGCCGCAAGAUAACAUGGACGGGCUUAACAGCACUCAACUCUGCGCUUCAAAGUGGUUCAGCGAGCUCAUUUUAUGUCACAUGUAUUUCACCACGAUUUUUAAAAAAAUCACAUCAAGGACCAUUCAUGCAUUAACAGAAGACUGCUGGGGCCAGUGGAGCCACGGCCUGCCUAUCUGAUACCCAGAUGCCUUGCUGGGGAGAGAACCGGAGUUUCCGCGAAAGCGCAGAAGUGGACACUUACGGAGAAAUUCCUGUCCUCAUAUCAAUUCCCGGCUCCCGGGAUUUCCGGCACGCAUUAUGCACAGGCUGAGCGCUCAAUAAAUGUGGAAUGAAC